GUACCUGACUAAGAAGCCCCGGCUAACUACGUGCCAGCAGCCGCGGUAAUACGUAGGGGGCAAGCGUUAUCCGGAUUUACUGGGUGUAAAGGGAGCGUAGACGGAUGGACAAGUCUGAUGUGAAAGGCUGGGGCUCAACCCCGGGACUGCAUUGGAAACUGCCCGUCUUGAGUGCCGGAGAGGUAAGCGGAAUUCCUAGUGUAGCGGUGAAAUGCGUAGAUAUUAGGAGGAACACCAGUGGCGAAGGCGGCUUACUGGACGGUAACUGACGUUGAGGCUCGAAAGCGUGGGGAGCAAACAGGAUUAGAUACCCUGGUAGUCCACGCGGUAAACGAUGAAUGCUAGGUGUCGGGUGACAAAGUCAUUCGGUGCCGCCGCAAACGCAUUAAGCAUUCCACCUGGGGA
rnacentral:rRNA from 1 species